AUGGAAACUAUUGUCGUGGAUCCGGGCCUGGCAAUGAAAGAACAUACGCGUCUAGAGAGAUUAAGUACAAAUUGGGAGGGCGGGGGCGGUGCUCGGCGCUUUCAACAGCAGCCAUCCGCCCGCCUCCCGCCCUCCCUGGGGGCAAACAGGAAAGGAAAGUGUUCGGUUGCCUUCCCACACUCCCUGGCCGGCGGCGGCGGAGCUCCUUCCCAGGGCCCAGAUGGGAACAUUUCUCAGAGAAAGGAAGAUGAUGUCCCUGUGUUUAACAUGAAAAAGUGUGCCCGAGUCAUAGAUUACAGCUUCCUGUUCCGUCGUGAAGUAAGCCGUGCUAAGAACUACGAGCAGGGAACCCACCAGGAAUACACCCAGCUGCACGGAACAGAAGUGCAAACAAUAGGGGCUUAAAUAAGUAAGAAGGUGAGCAGCUCCAUGAGGCUGUUGGAGCCCCGGACUCCUGUCACCUGCUGUUGCACCAUCUCUUGUGUCCUCCUCUUGCUCACGGUUGGAAAGCAUUUCCCGUAUUUCAGGCAGAAAGACAGAAAAAGGACCAAAAGCCUCCCACAGACUCCUGCCUGUGUCCCAUCCGCCAAAGCUCCAUCACGUGUCGGCUCCUUGUUGCCAGGAACCUGGGGAGGCAGGUGUCAGCCUCCAGGGGUUAGGAAGACCCCGGAGGAGAGGGUGUGAGCGCGCGGAAGAGCCCUGCACCGCUCCCACCGACGCUGCUGGAGGAAGACUGUGCCUACAAGAGGCGAGAAUGGAAAUGUAGGCAGAGUACAUUCUAGAAUGUGGAUUGCGUCCCUCGCUUACCUGGUCCUCUAAGCAUCUGAGGCUGCUGUCCUGGUCCAUGGGACUGUAUUUUUUGCAAAUGCAAACUUGAAUCAUUCUACGUGGGAGCCUGGCGUGAGCAAGGAGUCCGCGAGCUGAACGUUGAGUACCAGUGUCAUCCAAAGCAUCGAUCCCCAAACCGGGCUCCGUUUCCCUCUGCAGGGCCCAUGCAGCGAUGGUGGUCAAUUAAUAAAAGUUUGUUUAUUUCUAAGAAACGGCCCCCA
rnacentral:lncRNA from 12 species